AGCUUCGGUGGAGGCAUCGGUGGGAUACUACCCUGGCUGUAUUGAAAUUCUAACCCGCGCCCCUUAUCGGGGUGGGAGACAGUGUCAGGUGGGCAGUUUGACUGGGGCGGUCGCCUCCUAAAGAGUAACGGAGGCGCCCAAAGGUUCCCUCAGAAUGGUUGGAAAUCAUUCGCAGAGUGUAAAGGCACAAGGGAGCUUGACUGCGAGACCUACAAGUCGAGCAGGGACGAAAGUCGGGCUUAGUGAUCCGGUGGUUCCGCAUGGAAGGGCCAUCGCUCAACGGAUAAAAGCUACCCCGGGGAUAACAGGCUUAUCUCCCCCAAGAGUCCACAUCGACGGGGAGGUUUGGCACCUCGAUGUCGGCUCAUCGCAUCCUGGGGCUGUAGUCGGUCCCAAGGGUUGGGCUGUUCGCCCAUUAAAGCGGUACGCGAGCUGGGUUCAGAACGUCGUGAGACAGUUCGGUCCCUAUCCGUCGUGGGCGCAGGAAAUUUGAGAGGAGCUGUCCUUAGUACGAGAGGACCGGGAUGGACGCACCGCUGGUGUACCAGUUGUCUUGCCAAAGGCAUCGCUGGGUAGCUAUGUGCGGAAGGGAUAAGUGCUGAAAGCAUCUAAGCAUGAAGCCCCCCUCGAGAUGAGAUUUCCCAUCACGUAAGUGAGUAAGAUCCCUAGAAGAUGACUAGGUAGAUAGGUCAGAGAUGGAAGCAUGGCGACAUGUGGAGUUGACUGAUACUAAUCGAUCGAGGACUUAACCA
rnacentral:rRNA from 1 species